AAAUUGUCCUUUUACCUAG
rnacentral:misc_RNA from 1 species